rnacentral:rRNA from 1 species
UACGUAGGGUGCAAGCGUUGUCCGGAAUUAUUGGGCGUAAAGAGCUCGUAGGCGGCUUGUCGCGUCGGCUGUGAAAACCUGGGGCUCAACCCCGGGCCUGCAGCCGAUACGGGCAAGCUAGAAUUCGGUAGGGGAGACUGGAAUUCCUGGUGUAGCGGUGAAAUGCGCAGAUAUCAGGAGGAACACCGGUGGCGAAGGCGGGUCUCUGGGCCGAUAUUGACGCUGAGGAGCGAAAGCGUGGGGAGGGAACAGG